UGCAUGUCUGCGAGGAAGUACAUGGGGAGAACCCAUGCAGACACAGGCAGAACAAGCAGAACUCCACACUUACUCCCACACACUAAAAAAUCUAAUGACACUGCACCUUAAACCUUAUUUGAACUCUACCUCGUCAAGGGUGCAGACACUCAGGCAAUGCUGCAGCAAUAGAUAGACUCAGAUGCUCACAAGAUUUUAAUCCAAUACCAAAUUUUUUAAACAACAUUUAUUUAGUUACUAUUCAGGCAGAUGAACAAAUAAAAAUGAAAUACAUGAUGCAGCUUUCAAAAUAAACAUUUUAUCUAUUUAAACAGAAACUGUAUCUACAAGGGUUAAAUCUCAAAUUAUUCAGAAUAAGAUUCACACUGUUUGAUUAAUUGCUUUCCACAGCAAUGAAACGUCCCGAUUAUCCACGGGCAGUGUGCCUGCUCGCUGUUUGCGUUAUGACCCACUUCUACCUCCAAUUUCGAAAUACUUAGGCAAUGUAGGGCAGCAGUUAUGCAGCUCUAAAGCACUCAGCCAGCCAAACAAUGACACACAGUAACGCAGCGUCGUCGCAGAGUAUUUUAUCAAGGCAAUGAUUUGUUCCAGCAGGUACUGAGCCUGCAGGGACCAAAACAGAUGGAGAUUCGCGGAGAGCGGCGACAGUUUCUGUGGAGUUAGCAGCGCAUUGUUUGGCAGAGUGAAGACUCUCCUCUCGGGCCCUGACGUCUGCGUCCUCCUUCUGCGGCUCGGCUGCAGCAGGGGUCUUCCACUCCGUCAGAGGCUUUGUUCAAAGAACAUCCAGGCUGAAUUAGUCCCUUAUACAGUGGACACAGGAGCCGAUUCACAGCGAAAGGUCCCUCGUGGCCGAGACAAGUUUUUUUAUUUGUACAAAGCCCACUGUUGUGUAGAAAGCCACGUUG
rnacentral:lncRNA from 1 species